rnacentral:rRNA from 1 species
UACGUAGGGUGCAGGCGUUAAUCGGAAUUACUGGGCGUAAAGCGUGCGCAGGCGGUUUGCUAAGACAGGUGUGAAAUCCCCGAGCUUAACUUGGGAAUUGCGCUUGUAACUGGCAAGCUAGAGUGUGGCAGAGGGGGGUGGAAUUCCACGUGUAGCAGUGAAAUGCGUAGAUAUGUGGAGGAACACCGAUGGCGAAGGCAGCCCCCUGGGUUAACACUGACGCUCAUGCACGAAAGCGUGGGGAG